rnacentral:rRNA from 1 species
GACAGAGGGUGCAAACGUUGCUCGGAAUUACUGGGCGUAAAGCGCGUGUAGGUGGACUGGUGUGUCAGAUGUGAAAUCCCUGGGCUCAACCCAGGAACUGCACCUGAAACUACCAGCCUUGAGGGGUGGAGAGGGAAGUGGAAUUCCUGGUGUAGAGGUGAAAUUCGUAGAUAUCAGGAGGAACACCGGUGGCGAAGGCGGGUCUCUGGGCCGAUACUGACGCUGAGGAGCGAAAGCGUGGGGAGCGAACAGG